rnacentral:rRNA from 1 species
AGCAGCCGCGGUAAUUCCAGCUCCAAUAGCGUAUAUUAAAGUUGUUGCAGUUAAAAAGCUCGUAGUUGAAUUUCGGGAUCAAUGCGUCGGUCGUGCCUUCGGUACGUACUAGCGUCAUUGAUUCCUCCCUUCUGAAGAACCGUGAUGUCAUUAAUUUGGUGUUACGGGGAAUCAGGACUGUUACCUUGAAAAAAUUAGAGUGUUUAAAGCAGGCUAACGCUUGAAUACAUUAGCAUGGAAUAAUGAAAUAGGACGUUCGAACCUAUUUUGUUGGUUUCUAGGAUCGACGUAAUGAUUAAUAGGGAUAGUUGGGGGCAUUAGUAUUCAAUUGUCAGAGGUGAAAUUCUUGGAUUUAUUGAAGACUGACUACUGCGAAAGCAUUUGCCAAGGAUGUUUUCAUUAAUCAAGAACGAAAGCUAGGGGAUCGAAGACGAUCAGAUACCGUCGUAGUCUUAACCAUAAACUAUGCCGACUAGGGAUCGGAUGAUGUUUAAUUUUAUAAUGA